rnacentral:Y_RNA from 1 species
GUCUCAUCUGAGUGCAGUGGUGUUUACAAUUAAUGAAUCACAACCGGUUAUAGAUUUAUUUUCCACUCUCACUGCUUCAUUUGAUGACCCAAAA